UAAAAGCACGUGAAGCCGUUGAAAGGGAAACGCGCUCGGCUAGCAAUGUGCCACGAUGGUUCAGCCGUUUUGGGAGGCGAGACGGCCGUCGUCGGAUCCGGAAUGGACCGCGGCGGUCGCCGUCGCCGUCUUUCGAAAUGCGGUGCACUCUGUCGUGGCACGCGUCAGCGUCGGUUCGUGGGCGGGUGACAAGGCCCGGAAGGUAAGGUCGAGGCUUGCCUGGAGUGUUACAGACGUCCGUGCUGGGCCCACCGCGGACCGAGGAGAGAGAGUAUCUUUGCAGCGCAUGCCGCAAGGCUAGCUGCCCGUCGUCCGGUUCGCUUCACUCGCGGAGGACUGCACGCAGUGCUUUGCUUGGCGGGGUGGCCUGGCGGUGGAGCGGUAUAAAUGCGCUCAGGACGCUGGCGUCCAAAUGGCCGUGCGCCGACCCGUCUUGAAACACGGAA
rnacentral:rRNA from 1 species